rnacentral:sRNA from 2 species
GCGGCGUGAAGGCCGAGUCCGCACAGGUCCGUCGGGACCGAGCGGAGCCGGGGACCCAGGUUCCACGGGGUGAAUCGGCGCGCGAGCGCCGUAGGGCUCUUCCAUGCCCGAAUCCGACAGCUAACCCGGUAGGCGUCAUGGAAGACGAGGA